rfam:Trichobilharzia regenti genome assembly, scaffold: TRE_scaffold0045909
AUCCAGUUGACGAGUCCCAAAUAAGACGAAAUGCACAUCCAGAAU